rnacentral:misc_RNA from 1 species
CGCACAUUGCGCCCUCUGGUAUUCCGGGGGGCAUGCCUGUUCGAGCGUCAUUUAAAUCCUCAAGCCCAGCUUGGUAUUGGGAGCUCGCCCCUCGCGGGGUGCCCCCGAAACGCAGCGGCGGUGCGGCCGAGUCCCCUAGCGCAGUGACAUACAAUUCUCGCUACAAGGGUCCCGGGGCGUGUCUGCCGGACAACCCAAUUAAAUUUUAAACCAUGAUUGACCUCGGAUCAGGUAGGGAUACCCGCUGAACUUAA